rnacentral:rRNA from 1 species
GUGAGGAAUAUUGCGCAAUGGAGGCAACUCUGACGCAGCCAUGCCGCGUGCAGGAAGAAGGCGCUACGCGUUGUAAACUGCUUUUAACCGGGAAGAAACCCCAGGACGUGUCCUGGGUUGAUGGUACCGGAGGAAUAAGCACCGGCUAACUUCGUGCCAGCAGCCGCGGUAAUACGAAGGGUGCAAGCGUUAUCCGGAUUCAUUGGGUUUAAAGGGUGCGUAGGCGGAGCGUUAAGUCAGUGGUGAAAUCCUGCAGCUUAACUGUAGACUUGCAAUUGAUACUGGCGCUCUUGAGUGCGCUUGAAGUGGGCGGAAUGUGCCGUGUAGCGGUGAAAUGCUUAGAUAUGGCACAGAACACCAAUUGCGAAGGCAGCUCACUAAGGCGAUACUGACGCUGAGGCACGAAAGCGUGGGGAUCGAACAGGAUUAGAUACCCCGGUAGUCC